UUUGAAAUCUGGCGGUCUCAGGCCGUCCGAGUUGUAAUCUAGAGAGGUGCUUUCCGUGCCGGACCGCGUACAAGUCCCUUGGAACAGGGCGUCAUAGAGGGUGAGAAUCCCGUCCGUGACGCGGACUUCCGGUGCUCUGUGAUACACCUUCGAAGAGUCGAGUUGUUUGGGAAUGCAGCUCAAAAUGGGUGGUAAAUUCCAUCUAAAGCUAAAUACAGGCGAGAGACCGAUAGCGAACAAGUACCGUGAGGGAAAGAUGAAAAGAACUUUGGAAAGAGAGUUAAACAGUACGUGAAAUUGUUGAAAGGGAAACGCUUGAAGUCAGUCGCGUCUGCCGGGACUCAACCUUGCUUCUGCUUGGUGCAAUUCUCGGUAGAUGGGCCAGCAUCGAUUUUGGUCGCCGGAAAAGGGUGAGAGGAAUGUGGCAGCUUGCUGUGUUAUAGCCUCUUAUCGUACACGGUGACUGGGAUCGAGGAC
rnacentral:rRNA from 1 species